rnacentral:misc_RNA from 1 species
GAUGAAGAACGUAGCGAAAUGCGAUACGUAAUGUGAAUUGCAGAAUUCAGUGAAUCAUCGAAUCUUUGAACGCAUAUUGCGCUCUCUGGUAUUCCGGAGAGCAUGCUUGUUUGAGUAUCAGUAAACACCUCAACUUCCAUAUCUUUUUUGAAAUGGGAGUUGGACUUGAGUGAUCCCAACGCUUUUCCUCACCGAAAAGUGGCGGGUUACUUGAAAUGCAGGUGCAGCUGGACUUUUCUCUGAGCUAUAAGCAUAUCUAUUUAGUCUGCCUAAAAAACAGAUUAUUACCUUUGCUGCAGCUAACAUAAAGGAGAUUAGUUCUUGUGCUGACUGAUGCAGGAUUCACAAAGACAGGCUUCGGCCGACUUUGUAAACUCGAUCUCAAAUCAAGUAAGACUAACCGCUGAACUUAAGCAUAUCAAUAAGCGGAGGA